rnacentral:misc_RNA from 1 species
UCUCCGUAGGUGAACCUGCGGAGGGAUCAUUACAGAGUUCAUGCCCUCCGGGUAGAUCUCCCACCCAUUGCUAUAACUACUCUCGCUGCUUUGGCGGGCCGCUGGGCCCUGCCCGGCCGCCGGCCCCGGCUGGCGCGUGCCCGCCAGAGACCUCACAAACUCUGAAUGUUAGUGUCGUCCGAGUAACUAUACAAUCGUUAAAACUUUCAACAACGGAUCUCUUGGUUCUGACAUCGAUGAAGAACGCAGC